GAAGUUUAUUGACGUUACCCUAUGAAUAAGAGGCACCUAAUCACGUGCCAGCAGGUGCGGUAAUACGUGAGCCUCAAGCGUUACCCGGAUUUAUUGGGCGUAAAGGGUGUGUAGGCGGUUUUGUUAGUCUCCUGUUAAAGCCUCUGGCUUAACCAGAGAAGUGCAGGGGAAACGGCAAAACUAGAGGAUGCGAGGGGUUUGUGGAACUCAUGGUGUAGGGGUGGUAUCCGUUGAUAUCAUGGGGAACACCGAAAGCGAAGGCAACAAACUGGCGCACUCCUGACGCUGAGACACGAAAGCGUGGGUAGCGAAUGGGAUUAGAUACCCCAGUAGUCCACGCCCUAAACGAUGUCCGCUGGCUUUUCGGAGUAUCGACCCUCUGAGAGGCGAAGCUAACGCGUUAAGCGGACCGCCUGGGUAGUACGGCCGCAAGGCUAAAACUCAAAGGAAUAGACGGGGGCUCGCACAAGCGGUGGAGCGUGUGGCUUAAUUCGACACUAAGCGAAGAACCUUACCAGGGCUUGAAACCGAGACGACAAUUCUGUGAAAGUAGAAUUUUCUUCGGACGGCUCGGCAGGUGACGCGUGGCUGUCGUCAGUUCGUGAUUUGAAUUGUUCCCUUAAGUGGGGUAACGAACGCAACCCUCAUUGCCUGUUACAAGUGUCAGGCGAGACUGCUCCCUCACGGGAGAGGAAGGCGAGGAUGACGCCAAGUCAGCACGUCCCUUUGAUGUCCUGGGCUGCACACGCGCUACAAUGGGUGAUACAACGGGGCGCGACGCCGAGAGGCUGAGCAAAUCCUUAUAAAGUCAUCCCCAGUUCGGAUUGAGGUCUGCAACUCGACCUCAUGAAGUUGGAAUCGCUAGUAAUCGCAGGUCAGCAACACUGCGGUGAAUACGUUCUCGAGCCUUGUACUCACCGCCCGUCAAGUCAAGGGAGCCGGGAGUACCCGAAGUCUCACUUUAUGUGGGCCGAAGGUAAGUUCGGUAACAGGGACUAAGUCGUAACAAGGCACGGGUAGCGGAAGCUGUUCGUG
rnacentral:rRNA from 1 species